rnacentral:rRNA from 1 species
GACGAACGCUGGCGGCGUGCUUAACACAUGCAAGUCGAACGAAGUGGCGAACGGGUGAGUAACGCGUAAUCACCCUGCCCUUCAGAGGGGGACAACAGUUGGAAACGACUGCUAAUACAGCAUACUGAAGGAGGAGAUUGCGACUGCUUAGCGAGUGGGAGGGGUACCGGCCCACCAAGGCGAUGAUCAGUAGCCGGUCUGAGAGGAUGAACGGCCACACUGGGAAGGAGACACGGCCCAGACUCCUACGGGAGGCAGCAGUGGGGAAUCUUCCGAAAUUGACGAAAGGCUGACGGAGCAACGCCGCGUGAGUGAGGACGGCCUUCGGGUUGUAAAGCUCUGUUAAUCGGGACGCGGUACCGGAAUAGAAAGCCACGGCUAACUACGUGCCAGCCGCCGCGGUAAUUC